rnacentral:misc_RNA from 1 species
GAAAUGCGAUAAGUAAUGUGAAUUGCAGAAUUCAGUGAAUCAUCGAAUCUUUGAACGCACAUUGCGCCCGCCAGUAUUCUGGCGGGCAUGCCUGUCCGAGCGUCAUUUCAACCAUCAAGCCCCCGGGCUUGUGUUGGGGACCUGCGGCUGCCCGCAGGCCCUGAAAACCAGUGGCGGGCUCGCUGUCACACCGAGCGUAGUAGCAAUCACCUCGCUCAGGGCGUGCUGCGGGUUCCGGCCGUUAAACAGCCUUACAAAACCCAAGGUUGACCUCGGAUCAGGUAGGAAGACCCGCUGAACAGAAGC